rnacentral:lncRNA from 1 species
AUGGCUUCCUGUAAAUACAAUUUCAAAAGAGAGAAAGAUAUUGAGGUUGAGGUUACUGACCAUACUAUGCCCGAGUCAUUCAUACUUGAUGAGGAACAGGGAAGGUAAAUUUAACAAGGUUCUCACAACCUCUGCAAUCCACAGUUCCUAAUUACAGGAGAGGAUUAUUUAUGUUGAUCUAAGUGUGUAUCUGAUGCCAACUUCUAUGGUUGUGCUCAUGAAAAAGUUAACACUAUACUUGU